AACGAACGCUGGCGGCAUGCCUAACACAUGCAAGUCGAACGAAGGCUUCGGCCUUAGUGGCGCACGGGUGCGUAACGCGUGGGAAUCUGCCCUUGGGUUCGGAAUAACAGUGGGAAACCACUGCUAAUACCGGAUGAUGACGUAAGUCCAAAGAUUUAUCGCCCAAGGAUGAGCCCGCGUAGGAUUAGCUAGUUGGUGGGGCAAUGGCCCACCAAGGCGACGAUCCUUAGCUGGUCUGAGAGGAUGAUCAGCCACACUGGGACUGAGACACGGCCCAGACUCCUACGGGAGGCAGCAGUGGGGAAUAUUGGACAAUGGGCGAAAGCCUGAUCCAGCAAUGCCGCGUGAGUGAUGAAGGCCUUAGGGUUGUAAAGCUCUUUUACCCGGGAUGAUAACGACAGUACCGGGAGAAUAAGCUCCGGCUAACUCCGUGCCAGCCGCCGCCGUAAAAC
rnacentral:rRNA from 1 species